GCAGUAACUCUGAAGGAGAGCAGAUAUCCAGAGCAGCUCCAUAGCCUGGGACAAAUUGCCCAAGCCCAUGUGGAACAGCACCUUCUCUUUGCAACUGCUUGAAGACUGUCUGGCAUCCUUAAUACGUGGCAUGGUGAAUUAGUGAGGAGCAGCAGACAAUAAGGGAGGGUGUAGCUUCUUCACUCUUGUGGUCUUUCUGAAGGCAGCUAGAUGUGCCUUUCCUCAGUGUGGCAGCACAGUUAUCUCUGUAUAGAUGGGUGCGUGUUCUUCCUGGUGCCUGGCAUCAGUCAGUGGAUGAGUAGGCAUGUUGUGGGGUCAUGUAGGCAGAUUCAGGUGUGGGAUGGGUCUCAGCCAGCUGCUCACAACAUUUCUGCAGGAGCUCUGGGGUGGGAAGCCCAGGGUCACAAUUGUUUGUGCUACAGAUGGAGUGAGAGACGCUGCUGCUGAGAAGCCUCAGAUCCUCUGAGAGAAACGUGCUGUGUUUUUUAUCACCCUGUUUGUAAUGCAUCCCAAUGCUUUCUACUCUGUAGUUCUUUCUUUCCAGCAUGCUCCUUUAUAUGACAUUUCUUCUCUCAUGACACCUUCUAAAUGCCCAUGGUGGGAGCAGAAUGAACACAAGGACCAGUUUUAUGUAGACAUGGACAAGUGUGUGCUUGCAAGCUGCACAUCGUUUUCUCACCAGUGAUACAAGAAACUCCUCAGCA
ensembl:lncRNA